rnacentral:lncRNA from 1 species
AGUCACUUUUUUUUUUUUUUUUCAAUUACACAAAACAGAUUUAUUGAAUGAACCGAAGUGACUAACAGGGUCAGAAAACAUAGCAGAGACGUUCCAAAGAGGGGGCUGGUAGGGGAUGAGGGAGCCUCCAUCCUCUGUCCAGGGCCACCAGUGAGUUCCAGGCAAGAGGUCUCUGGGGUCACUGAGGAAGGCCUCAGAAAGGCACCCUCUUCCCUUCUGGUAGCUUCCUCCAACCUUGACCGCAUGCUUUGAGGACAGCCCUGGGCUGAGAAAGGGAGUCUGUGGAAGAUUCCAGUCUGUAAGGGGGAGAUUAAGCUGAGGAGAGCCUCUUCCUUUCUCCUCCUCCCUCGGCUCCUGGAGCUGGCGCCAUCCCAGGGAUGGUCAAGCUCUCCAUUUACACCACGCCGGGCUCUUCCUGCCUCCAUGGCGCAAAUCUUGUCCUUCACGUCCUGUCGGGAGGCCUCCAAGAACAAAACCUGGAAUAUACACAUCCCUGCCUCCAGCCCACAAAGGCCCCACCAUCAAUUUUGUCCUUGAGGCCUCUCUGGUGGCUUGAAGUCAUGCCCUCAGCCCUGCCACAGCUGCUCCAGUCAUCAUUCCCAGCCCCCCAGCCCAGCAGGAGAGGCCAAUGGGUCCCAUCCUGGUGGUGAGGUGACAAAAACCCCACCCAGUGCUUUUCACCCCAGGCAAGAAGGCAUGUUCCUUAGGGAGGGGGACACAGACCCAGGGAAAGGGGAGAGUGGUAGGGAACACACUCAUGGACUCAGAGCAGGGGGGAGAGGUGUGGGAAAGGAGCCAAGGAAGCUCUUAACCACCUCCUGCUUCCCUCAUGGAACUAGGAAUGAUGGCACCCAGCACAUUGGGUUUCCCCAGGGCUUGGGCACCACUGCCUUGGGGACAGAUCUCCCAAGAGGGGUCCCAGCCCUAACAGGAACAUCUCUCUUAAAGCACGGACCAGCCGUCAGAGCCCCCAAAUCCAGUGGGGGAAGGGGUGAAUUCAUUUUUGUUCUAUAUUGCCUCACUAUGUCCCUCUUUCCCCAAGGAUGCUGCGUGCAGAGUGGAGAAGUGGUAGAGAGUAAAGAGUAGAGAGUAGGGGGGUAGCUCACCCAAGUGACGAGUGACACAGGCACACUGCUCUUCCUGUUAUACUCAUCUGUGUACACACACAAGCACACACACACGCACACACAUAACUCUUGGCACCCAGCAACACCAGUGCUCAAGAAAAGUGUCCUGCCUGGAGAUGCCAGGCUGUGGUGGGGAGACCUACAGGUCCCAGUUCUGGAGAAGGUUGGAGGGGUGAGGAAUUGGAAAGGGAAGCCAAGCAGCAUAUAGACUAAAUACGGACUCCCUUCUUCCUCGACGUUGCCUUCCCGACUCCCCACUCAUAGAAUGACACCUAGGAGCCGGCAGUCCCAUCACCAACCCCGUGGACUUCCGAUUGCCAUGGGGAAUAGAGGUUGAAUGAGAGGAAAUCUGCAAAAAAAGCACAUCUAGUUGGCAUGAAGGAGGGGCUGCAGGAAGCGAGGCCCCCUUCUGGGAUCCUUAGUGCCCGAAACUACAGUGAAAUGGUCCGGUUUGCAAGAAAGUUCUGGAGCUCCCAGCUGCAGAGCCUGGAACUAACUUUGCUGACACCAGCCCCGGUCCCUCCUUCACUCUCGGGGAGCCAGAGUGUGUGCAAGCUUCAGGAUUCUUAACCCUUGGAAGCCCUGCAGAACCAGGGAGGUGAAUAGGGGAAGAAGGAGGGAUUAAAGAGGAGGUGUGCCCCGGAGACCGGGUUGGAGCCAGCAGGUGACAAUUCGGGCUGGAAAGUGCAGACAGAGGAGAAAGUAGGGGCAGGGAGAAGAGACAGGGCAUUAGGAAGAAAGGAGGGAAAAGGAAAAGCUGGAGAUCCAAGAAAAGGAGUGGGGGCAACCCAGUUCAGUUGAGCCAGCACAACUUCCCUUGUUUUAUAUACAAAUGGGGAAACGGAGGCCCAGAGGGGUCAAGACACUCGUGCAAGGUCCGUCUCACGGAUACCGAGUGGCCGAGCAGGAGCCUGCAGGGCUCAGUGUCCUCCCACUCAACCACAAACCUCUGAACAAGCCUCAAGAAGGAAGGAAGACAAGAGGGGGCAGGGGGGCAGGGAGCAGGGGAAAGGGUGGAGUGCGAGGGAGAAGGUGCUGUCAUGCUACCUGACUUUCAGAGAGCAGGGGAAGGCCGGGCAGGCCCCAGCCCUAGUCAACCACGAGGGUCUCUUGGCUGUAGGGGAUGGACUUCUCGUGCAUCUGCUCUGCACCCUUCCCCGAGUUGGGGCCAGGCCCCUGGCUGUGGCCGGAGGAGUAGCUGGCCGACUUCUCCCCGCUGCUGCUGUGGGAGGCCGCGCCGCACCUGCUCCGGCCGCAGCAGAGCAUGGACGCGCAGGCCUGGCGGAAGCGCGGGUCGAAGAAGGCGUAGAGGAAGGGGUUGAGGCAGCUGUUGACGUAGCUGAUGCAGGUGCAGUAGGGGAAGACGUUCAUGAGGAAGAUGUCCAGGUCGCAGGGCCAGUGCAGCAGGCCGCCCAGCAUGUAGAGCGUCUUCACCAGGUGGUAGGGCAUCCAGCAGAGCGCGAAGGUCACCACCAGCACCACGAUGAUGCUGAGCAGCCGCCGCCGCUUCCGCAGGCCCUCGAUGCGCUCCUUGCGGAAGUGGCCGGCGAUGGUUUGGGCGAUGAAGAAGUAGCAGGUGAGCAUGACGGUGAAGGGCACCACGAAGCCCACGGCGGUGGACGACACCCCCAGGCCCACCUCCCAGGCCCACUCGGAGCUGGCGGCGGCCACCAUGGAGUAGUCCAUGUAGCACUGCACCUUGGUGCUGUUCUCCAGGUCCCCGGUGGAGCGGAACACCAUGACCGGCAGGGCCAGCAGGGCGGCGAGCACCCACAGCACCGCCGUGGCCACGGCCCCGCUGACCCGCAGCCUCAGGCGAGCGUUGGCCACGGGCCUCACGAUGGCCAGGUAGCGGUCGAAGCUGAGCCCGGUGAGGCAGAAGACGCUGGCGUACAUGUUGACGAAGAUCACGUAGCUGCUGAGCUUGCAGGCGAAGGUGCCGAAGGGCCAGUCAUAGCCCCGGUACGUGUAGGUGGCCCAGAGCGGCAGGGUCACCACGAAGGUCAGGUCGGCCACGGCCAGGCUGGCGAUGAAGAUGUCUGCUGAGCGCCUCUUCUCGCGGCCGCUGCGGAACACGGUCCAGAGCACCAGGCCGUUGCCCGUGGUGCCCAGGAGGAAGACCAGCAUGUAGAUGGCGGGGAUGAGGGCGCCCGACGACUUCCAGUCCGCGUACUCGCACUCGGACUGGUUGUCGGCGCCGUAGUAGUUGUCGAAAUCGCCAGCCUCCUCCAUGCCGGCAGCGGACAGAGGCCGGGCGGGGGCCCCAGGCGGGAAGGGCCGAGGGUGUCCAGAGCCCCCCCAGGGAGCCGCCGAGGAGCUGCCUGGGGCCCAGCCGUCCCCCCACCCUCUCC